GAUGAACGCUAGCGGCAGGCUUAACACAUGCAAGUCGAACGGGAUCUUCGGAUCUAGUGGCGGACGGGUGAGUAACGCGUGGGAACGUGCCCUUUGCUUCGGAAUAGCCCCGGGAAACUGGGAGUAAUACCGGAUGUGCCCUUCGGAGGAAAGAUUUAUCGCCAAAGGAUCGGCCCGCGUUGGAUUAGGUAGUUGGUGGGGUAAUGGCCUACCAAGCCGACGAUCCAUAGCUGGUUUGAGAGGAUGAUCAGCCACACUGGGACUGAGACACGGCCCAGACUCCUACGGGAGGCAGCAGUGGGGAAUCUUAGACAAUGGGCGCAAGCCUGAUCUAGCCAUGCCGCGUGAGCGAUGAAGGCCUUAGGGUUGUAAAGCUCUUUCAGUGGGGAAGAUAAUGACUGUACCCACAGAAGAAGCCCCGGCUAACUCCGUG
rnacentral:rRNA from 1 species